AUGCGCAAGGCUUGAAUGGCGUCGGGGUUGGAGGGUUGGAAGGUCGGGAAGUGAAGGACUCGCAGGCAUAUUUAACAACGCAAAGUUGCUAGGAGUUGGUACCAGCGUUUGGGAGGUAGAGGUGGCGCUCAUGCAUAUUUGAGACAACAUCUGGAUGGUUGGGGAGAACGGUAAGGAGGAAGCGGCGCGCAUGCGUAUUUCAGACGGAGUGCCGGGGAGGGGAGGCGCUCAGCAUUCGGGUAAUUAAGGUUGCAAAAUGGCGAGGGGGGAGGUAAGCUGUCUUUGCUUGGCCAUCUUGGGCUAGCAGGCCUUGCAGAGAACUACCUUUUUAGCUGAGUGAAGGGAUCAACCUGAGUUGGAGUUCUCCUAUGCUGUGGCCAGAUCCACUAGAAAUUAACCCAGAAUCUUAGCCUCUCAGUGGCCUAUCGGUAAGUGGGUACAAAAAUGAGGAGGCGAUGAUGACUCUGCAAAAGGUUGCGGCAGCUGGCGGUGCGUAGGAAAUGCGUAAAAAGGGAGCACUUGGAGACAGGCCACAUUUGGGCAGUACGCAUUCGGAGGGCUCUCUGGCUUUCCGAUCUUGGGUCGCUGUACUUGGCUCUGAAUACAGUCACCCCAUCAGAGUAGCAAAACACUGUGGUUGUAGUGUGAGAAUCCAAUGUUAAUGUUGGCCGAAAGCUCUUGAUUUUCUUCCCUGAGAACAUAGGCGUGAGGAUUUGGAUGUGUUUCCAAAUGCUUGUUACUCUUUGCCGUAAACCUGGAAUUUGGACCUAUGGCUGCCUGGGACUCAUACUGUCGUGGAGAAAGAUUGAAAAGUAGUUAAUGGCAGUGGUGGUAUGAAGGAUACAUUCGUGGAAGUGGAGUUAGUACAUCAAAGGGUAUGAACAUUUUAAACUCUCAGUAUCUAUUGCCAAAUUUCUUCCUAAAAAGGUUGUAUCAAUUUUUACUCAUACAAGCGCUGAAUGUUGUUGUUUUUUAAUUUUUAAUGGAUAAAAACCAGUAUUAAUUUUUCGUUUGCCUAUUAGUUUGGAUUUUCUUCCUCCAUAUAUAUCUCAGCAGUUUUCUUUCAUGUAAUGAUAGUUCAUAUCUUAUGUUGAUUUAUGCGUUGAAGUUUUAGUUUACUGUUUAUUAUUAUCUGUUUGUGUUCUGUAAAUAAAGAUUAGUAUUCAGACUUUUGUAAUGUUAUAAAUACCUACUCCAUGUUAUUGUUUGCCUCUUAAUUUUUGUCUUUAAAUUUUUGGCUAGUAGAGAUUUGAAAUUAUUUGACAAAUUUAUCUUCUAUUUUGUGAUUUUUAUUCUAUUGUUUAAAUUUGAAUAGCUCCCUCAGUCUAGAAAUUUGGUAAAUAUUGUAACUUUGCCUGAGGGUAACUAUCAAGCAUGGGAGAAAAAACAUCCAUGAUUUUACCACCCAGAGAUAACUAUUGUUAAUACAUUUAUUCACUUCAUUCUCUGCAUUUUUCUUUGCAGUUGAUAAUAUAUGUGUACUAUUUUAUAUUGUGUUUUGUUUUUAACAUUAUAACAUGCGCAUGUCCAUGUUAAACAUUCUUUGUAAUUGUCAUUGUUUCAUGAUGUUCUGUUGUAUGGAAGUAUUUUACAGAUUUUCAGUAUUUUAAAUUAUGUAAUGAAUAUCUUUUCAUUUGGUUUUUAUUAUUUAUUUUGGGUUGUUUAUCGAAGAGACUUCUAGAAUUAGUUAUUUGUCAAAAGAUUUGAACAUUAUAAAGAAUUGGCAUAUUUACUUUUCAAAAAAUUAAUGUCAGUUUUUGUACCCAGUCAUUUAGGUACUUAUAAAAAAUGUUUUUGCUUUUUUUUUUUUUGCUGACUCCAUAUGUAAAUGAAUGAAUGAUAUCUCUGUGGGGUUUUUUUGUUUUUGUUUUUUUCUGAGACAGGCUCUCCCCCUGUCGCCUAGGCUGGAGUACAGUGGCGUGAUCAUGGCUCACUGAAGCCUCAACUUCCAGGGCUCCAGAGAUCCUCCUACCUCAGCCUCCUGAGUAGCGGGAGUACAGGUGUGUGCCACCAUGUCCAGCUAAUUUUUAAAUUUUUUUGUAGAGAUGGAGUUUUGCCAUGUUGCUCAGGCUUGUCUUGAACUCCUGGGCUCAAGUGAUUUUCCCACCCCGGCUUCCCAAAAUGCUGGGAUUACAGGGGUGAGCCACCAUACCUGGCCGAUAUCUUUGUUUUGUGAUACAGUUCUCUGAUUAUUAGUGAGGCUGGACUUUUAGAUCUUAAUUACUAGCUCUUAUUUCCUUUUGUGAAUUAUUCAAUUUGUGCCUGAAUGUUAUUUGUAAGUUGCAAAUGUCGUUUGUUGCAGAUAUGCUCCCAGUAAUAUUUGUUGCCAUUGAGUCUGAAGAAAUGUUUGCAAUUCCAAAUAUAACUGCUGUGUGGAUACAUGUCUGGUUCUUGGUAGCCAUUUUGAGAUAACAUUUGUCUGACCUCUAUCUUAUUUUUGUUUUUAUUUUUAGAGUGGAGGUCUUGCCCAGGCUGGUCUCGAACUCCUGGGCUCAAGCAAUCUUUCUGCCUCCGCCUCCCAAAGUGCUGGGAUUACAGGCAUAAGCCACCUUACCCAGCCUUGUCUGACCUUUAAACAGAAAUCCAUUUCUUUUUAUCUAAAAGGAAAGCACUUUUGAGUACUGUACAACAGUGGUGCUUCCUGGCUCUGGGCAUGGGGAGAAGACAGGGCAACAUUUUGUCCCUAAUGAGAAACUAAUUUAGACAAGAAACAAAACAGCGGUCCCUUCUCCCCCAUCCAUUCAGGGACUGGUCUUAUUUUAAAUAUUUCUGAGUGGUCUGAGGGAGGAUAUGGGCAAUAUUGAAGUGUCCACAUUUAUACAUACUGUUAAAUGCUUUGGGGAUGUGAAAUGCUAAUAGGAACACGCUAGCAUGUGAGAAGGCACCAGGAGUGGGCUAAUUGGCAGAAAGGAACAGUGUAUAGGCAAGAGCAGUGAAAUAACUUUAGGGGAAAAUAGUAUGUUAAGCUUAUUAAAUAACAGCCUCAUAGAGACAUUGGGUCCCAAAACAGUGAUCUCAGUAUAACUGUCAACAACUUGCUGAUGUUAUCAGCCCUAUUUGCUGGUCAGAGACAAAAAAGCCAGUAAAAACCUAGGUAUUAUUAAGAAAGGUAUGAGGCACAGAAAAAUGCCAUCUUAUCUUUGUAUAAAACCAUCUGAACCAAAUAACUAUUACAGUAAUAAUCUUGCCUCAAGGAGUCUGUUACUAUCACUCACAUGAUUUUGAAAAGGGAGUGGGCAGAGUGUGUUAUCUCUCUGUUUCAUUUUUCUUGUUUAUAAUACAUAGGUGAAUUAGAUAUUCUCAAAGGUCUUGGAGGGGUCUAAUUCUGGUUUCCUGAAACUGAAUGUUAUUUCUAGUUUAGAGAAUCUGUUUAAUUAUGUUUAUUAAAUAAACUUUUCUAACUUA